CAAGACUCCAAGACACUUUUGGGCAGAAGUUGUGAAUACAGCUUGCCAUGCCAUAAACCGACUUUACCUACACAAACUUCUUGGUACCUUAAACGGAAACUUCUUAAGUUCUUCAGCACUUACGAUCGAACAGAAGACAUAUUUGUUUUCUUCAGGUUAGUAGCAGCUAUCUGGUUGUGCUCGCACAGCGGAUUAUGAAGAGGUUAUACCUGGACUUGGAGAAAAUGACAGUGUGGCAGAUGUGAGUAUCAGCAUAUUUUCCUCAGGUUAGUAUCAGACUUGGAUAAAGAAACAUGGGUCUGAUUAGUUUCUGUCACUAGUUCAUAUGUGAUGAACUCCUGUAUAUAUCCUCUUGUGCUUACUGUUUUUUUCUUGGUGGUUCUCUCAUUGCCUGGAAGACGAA